AUUGAACGCUGGCGGCAGGCUUAACACAUGCAAGUCGAGCGGGGGAAGGUAGCUUGCUACCGGACCUGGCGGCGGACGGGUGAGUAAUGCUUAGGAAUCUGCCUAUUAGUGGGGGACAACAUCUCGAAAGGGAUGCUAAUACCGCAUACGUCCUACGGGAGAAAGCAGGGGAUCUUCGGACCUUGCGCUAAUAGAUGAGCCUAAGUCGGAUUAGCUAGUUGGUGGGGUAAAGGCCUACCAAGGCGCCGAUCUGUAGCGGGUCUGAGAGGAUGAUCCGCCACACUGGGACUGAGACACGGCCCAGACUCCUACGGGAGGCAGCAGUGGGGAAUAUUGGACAAUGGGGGGAACCCUGAUCCAGCCAUGCCGCGUGUGUGAAGAAGGCCUUAUGGCUGUAAAGCACUUUAAGCGAGGAGGAGGCUACUUUAGUUAAUACCUAGAGAUAGUGGACGUUACUCGCAGAAUAAGCACCGGCUAACUCUGUGCCAGCCGCCGCAGUAA
rnacentral:rRNA from 1 species